rnacentral:rRNA from 1 species
GACGAACGCUGGCGGCGUGCCUAAUACAUGCAAGUUGAGCGCUGAAGGUUGGUACUUGUACCAACUGGAUGAGCAGCGAACGGGUGAGUAACGCGUGGGGAAUCUGCCUUUGAGCGGGGGACAACAUUUGGAAACGAAUGCUAAUACCGCAUAAAAACUUUAAACACAAGUUUUAAGUUUGAAAGAUGCAAUUGCAUCACUCAAAGAUGAUCCCGCGUUGUAUUAGCUAGUUGGUGAGGUAAAGGCUCAACAAGGCGAUGAUACAUAGCCGACCUGAGAGGGUGAUCGGCCACAUUGGGACUGAGACACGGCCCAAACUCCUACGGGAGGCAGCAGUAGGGAAUCUUCGGCAAUGGACGAAAGUCUGACCGAGCAACGCCGCGUGAGUGAAGAAGGUUUUCGGAUCGUAAAACUCUGUUGGUAGAGAAGAACGUCGGUGAGAGUGGAAAGCUCAUCAAGUGACGGUAACUACCCAGAAAGGGACGGCUAACUACGU